CCGUCAGUGGUUAAUGAAUCGUCAAUCGAGGCUACUAAUCCGAGAGAAUUGUUGAGCCAAAGAGUCGAAGAAACGUGAUUCACCAUCGAGGACGCCAUCAGCCAAAGAGGUAAAGCGAAGUUUUACGAGAGGGGUGGCUACUCUUACACAGUUUAUCGCACCAACGCGAAUGGAACUGGUACGUCCGUACUAAUUACACAGUGUUCCAUUUUCUAUCACCCUGUUUCUAAUACCUAACAAUUUUAUUUUGCAGUUGCCUGGAGAUGCUCCGUAAGGCGGAAAGGGAACGUCUGCCGGCAAAGGUCCUGCAAAAGGACGAUGAUUUCAUCAGAAAGGAAGCGCCCCAUUCACAUGGCCCCGUGGUCGGCGAGCGACAACAUGGAAAACUGAAAAGAUUGGUGAGGGAACGGGGGUUAGAGAAUCCCUACACAGCUUGUGGGAUUGUGGCUAAAAUGGCACGCAAAGAGAUUGCAGCAGGUAGAUUGCAGAUUGGCGCAGUAAAGGAGGAAUCAUUGAAAAGAUUGUGCAACAUAAAGCGACAAAACAACAGACCGUCAGACCCAAGUACAAUCAAGGAGCCCCUGCAACAUCAACACAUUCCCAAUUUUUUUUUUAAUUGACGAUGCAAUAGUCAACGACGCACGUCACAUAAUCUUUUCAACGAGAAAACAGCUGUCACUUUUGUCGAAAGCAAAAACCUGGUUCAUGGAUAGGACAUUCGAUGUGGUUAAGGGGGCAUUCUACCAAAUUUUCCAUUCAUACCUUCAUCAGGAGCGGUGGAUGCUCUGAGCAGAUUCCGUUGGUCUUUGUCCUCAUGUCCCGGCGCCGGAAAAUACAUUCAUCCGGUCUACAUUCACAUCUUCAAUGUACUCAACAACUUACUCACUCUUUGUUUUCAUGUGCACAUGUGAAGAGGUUUGCGCUGGACUUCGAAGCCGCAACGUGGCAAGCACUUUCUUCAGUAUGGCCGGACGUUGAAAAGCAGGGCUGCUCUUUCCACUUCACCCAGGCCAUAAUGAAGAAUUUGCGCCACAAUAAUUUGGCUCGCCAAUACAACAAGGACGCUGGAACAAGAGAUCUGAUCAAGCAUGUCAUGGCUCUGUGCUACAUACCAUAGGCCGCGAGCCGAGGCCAUUUAUCUUUCAGUUUCGUAGCACACAUAUGAUGCUGUACUACAAAAGAAAACGGCAAUGUUCCACCAAUCCGACCUAACG